rnacentral:lncRNA from 1 species
GUCCUGAAAAGGAAAUAAAAGCAAUUUCCUGCUGCAGAGAGCAUUUUAAGAAAGGACAGCAUUCCUGGGACCUCUGCCUACCAUCCAUAAAAUACUCAUUCCCCUCUCAGCUCUGCCUGCAGUUGAACACAAAGACCUGGAGGAGACUCCCACCUCUUCAGGGAGAAGAAAGGAGGCAGCGAAGCAGAUUAAAGGAACUUGUGGCUUGUGGCCUUUUUGUGCAAGGGCUGCCUGAAAGGGGAGAAAAGUGUAUGAAAGCCACCGUGGCGGUUAAUGAGCUGUGAGAUGAGGCGCUGCUGCGGCCGCUGCUGCUGACACUCGCUCCCAGGCUGCACCCGCUGCCCUUGGCGCUUCAUGUACAUGUGUCUAUUCAGGCCGUGCGGAGGCGUCCAGAAGAGCAUCCAACACGGCUG